rnacentral:rRNA from 1 species
UACGGGGGGAGCAGGCGUUGUUCGGAUUUACUGGGCGUAAAGGGCGCGUAGGCGGCGUGACAAGUCACUUGUGAAAUCUCCGGGCUUAACUCGGAACGGUCAAGUGAUACUGUCGGACUAGAGUACAGAAGGGGCAACUGGAAUUCCCAGUGUAGAGGUGAAAUUCGUAGAUAUUGGGAAGAACACCGGUGGCGAAGGCGGCGAGCUGGCCUGUGACUGACGCUGAGGCGCGACAGCGUGGGGAGCAAACAGG